rnacentral:rRNA from 1 species
CGGCCGGACAAGUCCGUUGGGAAAUCGACGCGCUCAACGCGUCGGCGUCCAGCGGAAACUGUUCGGCUUGGGGCCGGAAGACCUGAGGGGUACGUCCGGGGUAGGAGUGAAAUCCCGUAAUCCUGGACGGACCGCCGGUGGCGAAAGCGCCUCAGGAAGACGGACCCGACGGUGAGGGACGAAAGCUAGGGUCUCGAACCGGAUUAGAUACCCGGGUAGUCCUAGCCGUAAACAAUGCUCGCUAGGUGUGCCGCAGGCUACGAGCCUGCGCUGUGCCCUAGGGAAGCCGAGAAGCGAGCCGCCUGGGAA